rnacentral:rRNA from 1 species
CGCUGGCGGCGUGCCUAACACAUGCAAGUCAACUUGACUGAAGGAGCAAUCUGACAGUAGAGUGGCGCAAGGUGCGUAACGCGUAAGUAACUUGCCCAAGGUAAGGAAUAACGUCGAGAAAUCGGCGCUAAUACCUCAUAAUGCAGCGGAUCCGCAUGGAUAUGUUGUUAAAGGUUUACCGCCUUGGGAUAGGCUUGCGUCUGAUUAGCUAGUUGGUGUGGUAACGGCACACCAAGGCUACGAUCAGUAACUGGUCUGAGAGGAUGAUCAGUCACACUGGAACUGAGACACGGUCCAGACUCCUACGGGAGGCAGCAGUGAGGAAUAUUGGGCAAUGCUCGAAAGAGUGACCCAGCAACGCCGCGUGGAGGAUGAAGGUAUUCUAUAUCGUAAACUCCUGUGAGAGCAGACGAAAGACAGAUUAUUAAUCUGGAUGACUGUAUGCUCAGAGGAAGCCCCGGCUAACUACGUG